rnacentral:rRNA from 1 species
UACGAAGGGGGCUAGCGUUGCUCGGAAUCACUGGGCGUAAAGCGCACGUAGGCGGAUUGCUAAGUCAGGGGUGAAAUCCUGGAGCUCAACUCCAGAACUGCCUUUGAUACUGGCAACCUUGAGUCCGGGAGAGGUGAGUGGAACUGCGAGUGUAGAGGUGAAAUUCGUAGAUAUUCGCAAGAACACCAGUGGCGAAGGCGGCUCACUGGCCCGGUACUGACGCUGAGGUGCGAAAGCGUGGGGAGCAAACGGGG